GAUGAACGCUAGCUACAGGCUUAACACAUGCAAGUCGAGGGGAAACGACAUCGAAAGCUUGCUUUUGAUGGGCGUCGACCGGCGCACGGGUGAGUAACGCGUAUCCAACCUGCCCACCACUUGGGGAUAACCUUGCGAAAGUAAGACUAAUACCCAAUGACGUCUCUAGAAGACAUCUGAAAGAGAUUAAAGAUUUAUCGGUGAUGGAUGGGGAUGCGUCUGAUUAGCUUGUUGGCGGGGUAACGGCCCACCAAGGCGACGAUCAGUAGGGGUUCUGAGAGGAAGGUCCCCCANAUUGGAACUGAGACACGGUCCAAACUCCUACGGGAGGCAGCAGUGAGGAAUAUUGGUCAAUGGGCGAGAGCCUGAACCAGCCAAGUAGCGUGCAGGAAGACGGCCCUAUGGGUUGUAAACUGCUUUAUAAGGGAAUAAAGUGAGCCUCGUGAGGCUUUUUGCAUGUACCUUAUGAAUAAGGACCGGCUAAUUCCGUGCCAGCAGCCGC
rnacentral:rRNA from 1 species